GGUUCCGAUAACCCUGUGUAAUGAAUUUUUAGAAGUCAGCAUACUUGCUUCUCUCCUACCAAACCUAUACUUUUAAAAAAAUCAUUAAUAAUCCAACCAAAAUGUAGGCCAUUAUUAAGGUAGCUUUUGAAAUUAAGUGUUAAUACAAACACAUGUGGUCACAUAAAGGACACACUGGUCCAGAUUCAGUCAGUUCUCAAUUAAAUCAUAUCACUAUGAAAACACAGUGUUCCUUCAGUAACACGGACUGAGGAUGCAGCUCAGAGGUGCAAAACCUGCCUACCAUGCACAAGGCCCUGAGUUCAACCUCUAGCACCUCAAAAACAAGAAGGAAAGAUCCAAGUAAUAAAAGCCUUUCACUUGCCAUUGGUUGGCAUAAAAUUUCAUACUUAGAAAACUGACUGAAGCCAGGUCAUUUGUCAACUACCCAAAUAAAAUAAACCUGCUUCACUGGCAUCAUUUUACAUAGAAAUAGACUGAUUGUUUAGAUUUGUUCCACUUUUGUUUGUUGCACAUUUAUGUACUUUAGACGUCAAUUCUUCAUGAACAAAAUAGCUAGAAGGUACAGAUACCAUAGUCAAGGGCCGGCUAGACCUGUGGCUCACAGGUGUAUUUAGGCUUUCACUAAGUUUCUCUGGGGGAAAAAUGCAUUUUCAGUGUCAUCUGGACCAGAAAUGUGUGGCUGGGCGCCUGUAAUCUAGCCACUCAGGAGGCUAAAAGAAUGGUGAGUUUAAGGCCUGCCUGUGCAACUCUGCAAAAUUCUAUCUCAAAAUAAAAUGUAAAAAAGGACAGACAUGUAGCUCAGUGGUAGAGCAUCCCAUGUGGUAUUGGAAGAAAAGGAAAUAAGAGGAGCAGGAGGAAGAAGAGGGGAGAGAAGGAAAGAAAGCAGAAGGAAAAAGGAAGGAGGGAGAAAGAAGCAAGGAGGGAAAUGCAAGCAUGACAUUUACUCAAAACUAACAAUUUUAUGAAGAAAAACAUUUACUUAGAUAUGUCACGGGUUUAUCAUCACAUACACACAGGAUCAUACUAGCUUAAUGAUGAUCCUUCUCCAAUUGAAAAGAAAUGGUCUGACAGAAAACUAGUAUCUUUAUAAAAUCUUUUUUUUUUUUUUUUUGUACCAGGAUCGAACUCACAACUGAGUGCUUGCAAGGCAGGCACCCAUGUCGCUGAGCUAAAUCCUCAGCCAGAAAAGCUUUUUAUUAGCACAGACCAUGGUUUAUGUACAAAGCCACUGACGGUGACUCUAGCUGGAGGAAAUCCAUUCCUCAAAUCUCUUCUACCACCCACUUCUUCAGUGAUAGGAUGUACUGAAUUAUCAUAGUGCACCCCACAAAGAUGCACAAAUAAGCUUUAAAAAACAGAACAAAGAGCCGAGCGUGGUGGCUCACACCUGUAAUCCCAGCACUCAGGAGGCUGAGGCAGGAGGGUCGUUGCGAGUUCGAGACCAGGCUAGGCUACAAAGUGAGCUCAAGGCCAGCCUGAACUGCAUAGCAAGAUCCCAUUUCAAAAAAAAAAAAAACAAAGGAGACAGAUCUCUUGCAAAUCAGAAGGGGACCAAGAGGUGCAGGGAAUUGGGGAGGAGCAGAAAAAGAUGUAAAGAAAAUGAAGAUCUGUUAUAUUUAUGUGCCAGCUUCCCACAAGGAAUGUGAUUCAUUGCGUACUGAAAACAUGUACUAAUAAAAAAAUUUAAUUAAAAACAAACACUUUCAACCUAGUUCCUUCAAGUCCUAAAACACUUAUUGUUCAUGCUACAUUUAACCAAGAUUAUAAACAAUGAAACAUAAUACUUUGUGUGCGUGUAGUUUUUAUUUUUUGGUGGUGCUAGAGAUUGAACCCAGGAACACUGAGCUAUUUUCUCCACUCUUUUUAUCAUUAUAUUUGAGACAAGAUUUUACCAAAUUAUUCAGUCUAUCCUUGAACCUGUGAUACUCCUACCUCAGUCUUCUGAGAAGCUGGGAUUAUAGGUAAGCAUCACUUUGCUGGCCUAGUUUGUGUUUUUUCUACCUAUGCUAUCUAGGUCUUGAGUUGCCAAGAAAUCAAUGUUCCAGAAGGCAGGAAUCACUUUUGUAUUUUAGCAUUACUAUACCUAACUACAAUUUUGAUCACUGUGGUUACUUAACACAUUUUAAUUUUCCUUCUCUUCUUUGACCUAAAAAUAUUUAAAAAGAGGAAACUCACUGAUCAUGGCGGUGCAUGCGUGUGAUCUUGGCUACUUGAAAGGAUAACACAGAAAGAUUACAAAUUCAAGGCUAGCCUGAACAGCAUGGUGAUACUUUAUCUCAAAAAAAAAAUUUUAAGAAAAAAGACAAAAAAAAAAAAAAAAAAGAAAAGAAAAGAAAAAGAAAAAAACCUGGAUAAAAUAUUUAGAAAUCAUAGAUCUAAUAAGGGACAUUUCUGGAGCAAAUAAUAGUAAGAAUAAUUGAAUAAUAAUCAUCAAAUGGGCAGAUGGCGGAUAGUGGGGAGGAUGGAAAAUUUUAUGUGGUUUUAUACAACAAUCAAGUUUUUUAAUUGAAAAAGAAAAAACAUUCAAUUGAAAUCUUCAUCUACGUAAAGGGCAUUUGAAAUUUCAAAAAGCACAAGAGGGGUUUGUAAUAAAUGGCAUCAAAUAAAAACUUGACCAUUCAUAGGGAGCGGAAGGGUGUGACAUGGUGGCAGAGUAUUGCUAACAAGCCUGAGCCAGAGACUUCACCCCAGAACCCUGAGUAACAUUAGUAAUUCCCAUGCGGUCGCUCAGCAGAUUGCCCUCGGGUUCCCUCCUCAGCUCAGCCUGUCCACCUGGUGGGCAGACUGCUGAUUUCGGACAGAUUACUGAAAUUACUGAACCAUCAAAAUGAAAGUGAAAGUUAUUUUUACCUGAUGAUUUGACCUUAGUAAGUAUUUCUUAUUUUUUCAGUUCUACUAGCUGAGAAAAUCUAACUGGGAGCUCUGGAACGGCAGGACAGCAGCAGCUCCAGCAGAACCCUGCAGGGGCUGUUAAAGUCGCCACAGGCCUCCAGCAGGCAUCCAUCCCCUCACACCUACUUCCUGGACCUGCCGACCAGUCCCUCCCAUCGCUCUCUUGUGCCUUUCUCAUCCAGACCAGGCAUCUGAAACUCAAGAGACAGAAAUGAACUUCCCAACACUUCUCUCUGCCAAAGCACAUCAUUUCCCUGGAGCAAGAGUCACCUUCCCUGAGUAGGUGAAGAAGACCACAGGCAAAGGACACAUCAGGAGCAAUGCUGUCUUGUCAUACUGACAACCUCAAACUGACUUCAUCCUGUGUCUUCUCCACGUGAUCAGUGCUGGCUACUCAAGACAGGAUUAUCAGUGAGCCAUGCUACCGGAGGAUAUUUGAAAUCAGAAAAGAUGGUUUGAUGAUACAGACAGUCCUUGUUUAAUGACCAAAUUGUGCUCAGCAGACUAGGUCACUAUCUGAAUUGGUUGCUGAAAGGAAUUAUAUAUCUUAUAUACAUUAUAAUUUUCAGAACAGAGAAACAGUAAAAAAAAAAAAAAAAAAAAAAGCUCCAAUUUCAUCAAGUCAGCACUUUGCUUUUAUUUGCAUAACUUUACCAUGUAGUACUGUAAUGUAUAACAAUAUAAAACUACAGUACUGUACUUGCUAUGGCUUGUGUCUAGAUGUCCCCUCAAAGCCUCAUGUGGUCAUGGGUAUGUUUUUCAGAGGUGGCUGGAUCUAGAGUAUAUGGAAUUGUGUGAUGCUGGUAUUGAGGUGUGUGAUUACUAAAUUAGUCUACUGAUUGGUUUGGCACAAUUCUGGGUAGGCUUAAGGGUGCACUCCUUUGUGGGGUAUGUGCUGGGUUGGUUAGCCUGGAUAGAAUACAAGGGACAGAAAGAGAGUUGUUGCUGCUUUUGCUACCUUCUGCUUACCCUGCUUUGCCAUUAACUGUUUCUCCGCUGUGACACUCCUCUGCCAUGCUACCCUGACUUGGGCCCAGACAACCAUGGAUUAAAAACCCCACAAGUGGGGCUGGGGAUUUAGCUCAGCGGCAUAAGCGCCUGCCUUGCAAGCAGGCAGUUGUGAGUUCGAUCCCUGGUACCGAAAAAAGAAAAAGAAAAAAGGAAAAAAAAAAACAAAACCAGAAUUCAUGUGUGCACUUAUUCCCUUGAGUCAGGAAAUAUCAGUGUGGAAAAGCAGAGUCGUACAUGCAGCACUAUUUCAUCCUAUGAGCUGCUGAAUUUAAGACAUACUUUGUUUCUGUACCUUGAUCUUAUUCACAAUUUUUUACUGUUGCUAACACUGCCCCCAAGAUGAGGGAACCUGCUGCCCUCCCCACCUGUUCUUGAAUGACCACCAUGGACCUGGCCAUUCAGCUCCAAGCCAUUUGCUUGCACAGCACAUCAGACUCCAACACCCACCUGGCAGACGGCCUAUAAGACCAAGGCCUAGCGUGCUUUCUCUAAUUUCUAAUGGUGAUCGCAAGGCAAUGAGAGCCACAGUGAAAUCUGCUUCAGUAACAGAGAGCUCAGUGGUAAGACUCAAACGCUAUCAGGCAUAUUUUCCUCGGAGGCAUCAUGCACAGCCAGAAGGUGACCCAUGCUGUGCCUUACUAGUUUUGUCUAACUUCAGAGCAAAAUGCCCAAAUACUUUCUUCCACAAGUGUGUUACUUACACCAUGGGACAUGCCACACUGACACUUAGUAAAAGAACUGUGUUGAUAGCCUCUUCUACCUUUUUAUCAAGCAGAAUAAAGGAUGUUUGGUUUUACAAGCUUAAUUGUGUGCCUUGAACCAAUUUUUGCUGAAUAUAAAUACACUUUAUUCUGAAUGAA